rnacentral:rRNA from 1 species
AACGAAUCUUCCACAAUGCGCGAAAGCGUGAUGGAGCAAUGCCGCGUGCAGGAUGAAGCCCUUCGGGGUGUAAACUGCUGUCAGGGAUUAGGAACACAAUGACCAUUCCCAAAGGAAGAGACGACUAACUCUGUGCCAGCAGUCGCGGUAAUACAGAGGUCUCGAGCGUUAGUCGGAUUCAUUGGGCUUAAAGCGUACGUAGGCGGAUAUGCAGGCGUCGUGUGAAAGCCCUCGGCUCAACCGAGGAAUUGCACGGCGAACCGCAUGUCUUGAGAUCGGUAGGGGCGGUCGGAACGAUAGGUGGAGUGGUGAAAUGCGUUGAUAUCUAUCGGAACGCCGAAGGUGAAAACAGGCCGCUGGGCCGAUUCUGACGCUGAGGUACGAAAGCGUGGGGAGCAAACGGGAUUAGAUACCCCGGUAGUCCACGCCGUAAACGAUGUGCACUAGAUCGAGGAGGAUCUGACUCCAUUCUCGGUCGAAGUAAAAACGUUGAGUGCACCGCCUGGGGAGUACGGUCGCAAGGCUAA